rnacentral:rRNA from 1 species
GAUGAAAGAGGGAGGCGUGCCUAAUACAUGCAAGUCGAGCGAACAGACGAGGAGCUUGCUCCUUUGACGUUAGCGGCGGACGGGUGAGUAACACGUGGAUAACCUACCUAUAAGACUGGGAUAACUUCGGGAAACCGGAGCUAAUACCGGAUAACAUGUUGAACCGCAUGGUUCAACAGUGAAAGACGGUCUUGCUGUCACUUAUAGAUGGAUCCGCGCCGCAUUAGCUAGUUGGUAAGGUAACGGCUUACCAAGGCAACGAUGCGUAGCCGACCUGAGAGGGUGAUCGGCCACACUGGAACUGAGACACGGUCCAGACUCCUACGGGAGGCAGCAGUAGGGAAUCUUCCGCAAUGGGCGAAAGCCUGACGGAGCAACGCCGCGUGAGUGAAGAAGGUCUUCGGAUCGUAAAACUCUGUUAUUAGGGAAGAACAAAUGUGUAAGUAACUAUGCACGUCUUGACGGUACCUAAUCAGAAAGCCACGGCUAACUACGU